GGCAGUUCUCAGGCGACACAUCACAGAAUUGGACUCCCUCCUCUCUGGUUCCAGGGUGUGUCAUCUGAGAACCACC
rfam:Myotis davidii contig122234, whole genome shotgun sequence.